GAUAACCCACGAUAAACCUCACCUGCCCUUGCACCAGUCAGCCUAUAUACCUCCGUCGCCAGUCCGCCUGUCAACAGCCCCCAAAGCGCAUACAACAGCCAACCGCUCACACGACAGGUCAAGGUGUAGCUAAUGGGCCGAGCAGAGAUGGGCUACAUUUUCUUUAGCUAGAAAAUACCUAAAAUGCCAUGCAAACCGCACACGAGGUGGAUUUAGCAGUAAGGGGGGUAAGAAAAACCCACUUGAAGCUUACCAUGAGAUGUGUACACACCGCCCGUCACCCUCCUCACAAGCACAUAAACUUAACUAAGACCCUCACAUAACUAAAGAUGAGGUAAGUCGUAACAUGGUAAGCGUACUGGAAAGUGCGCUUGGCUCAGCUCAGAGGUAGCUUAACCUAAAGCACUCGGCUUACAACCAAA
rnacentral:rRNA from 1 species